CUGAUACUGAAAUUACAGUAUUCAUCAUCUAAACUGCUCUUCCAGCUUGGACAUUACCUAGAUCAGUAUCAAACCCACAGGGCUUUUCCUUUCUGCAUUCAGUCAUGGAAUGAAAAUGCCUCACUCCUGAAGCAUUCCUGCGGUCUGCUGCGAUCAGCAGAGUGCUGUGGUUGUGUGUCGGAGCCCACGCCCCAAGCCAUGUCUUUUGGAGUAUUUUUACUGCCCUGAAACUGCCACUGCCUCUGUGCUCUUGGCAUCACAUGACAGGAAUUAUGUUUGACAAAAUCUGCCUGCUGUAAAUUACCUUGUACAACUAAAUGAUACAUAAGUAAGGUCUAAUAAUGGCAAGACGAAAAGCUGCUCCGAAACACUUCUAUGCAUCUUUCAUAAGAGUACUGGAGCUCACAAAUCCAUUCUGCUCUUGAUCUUGAAGAUACUUCUUACUGAGCAGUUUCACUGGUGUAACUAACAGAGUGUGUAGACAUGGACACGCUCAUUAGGAGCUCAUUAUGCUUGGUGUCCGCUCCAUCCCAUACUGGUUAAUGUACUCCACCGGUGCCCUUUAUCUCUCUACCACUUGUUCCUCAUUGUGCUGGUGGACACUCACAAGGCACUCUCACCAAAACUCAUGAGUGUGGUGUAAACAGUGAGCUGCCGCUCUGGCUGCAUUUUCAGAUUUUUGGAGUGGGAGAAUCUUUGCAAAUGUCAUUUUAGUUUCUAUGAUGCCUGGAUAUUAGUUUUCUUAUACAUGUGUACAUGGGUAUAAAGUUUACUAAUCUUUUGAUGCCCACAACUUUCCCGUAUUUUUAUAUGGAAGCUCUGGAUUUUUUAAUGUGGAUACAAGUUGAUUAAAUGAAUCAUUAUAUGAAUGAAAUAGAAUUGCAGGGAUUGGAAGGGACCUCAAGAGAUCAUCAAGUCCAACCCCCCUGCUAAAGCAGGUACCCUACAUUAAGCCAUACAGGCAGGUGUCUUGAAUAUCUCCAUAGGAGACUCUACAACCUCUCUGGGCAACCUUUUCCAGUGCUCCAUCGCCUUUACUGUAAAGUUCUUCUGCAUGUUAGUGCAGAGCUUCCUGUGUUCAAGUUUUAGGCCAUUACUCCUUGUCCUAUUGCUACACACCACGAAGAAGAGCCUGGCCUCAUCCAUUUGCCUCCCACCUCCCUUUAGAUAUUUAUAGAUGUUUAUCCUUCAAAGUCCUCUUUUCCCCAGGCAGAACAGAUGCAGGUUACUCAGCCUUUCCUCAUAUGGGAGAUGCUCCAGGCCCUCAAUCAAUUCAUUGAUUUGAUUUGAUGGAGUUGGAGUGGGGCAGACUGCCCUCUUGUACUAUGGUGGAAGACCAACAUAACCCAGUGUCUAUUUAUACACUGAUACCUGGAAACGUGUCUGAUAGUUGCUUGGCAAACAGCACUUGUGGGUGUUUUCUGCAUCUGUUUCUCACUUACCAAUAUCUGCUUGAUGAAUCUUGGGAGCAAAAAUACUCUUUCAAAUCAGCUGUGUGUUGUUCACAACUGAACCAGUCUUGCUACUGCAUCUUUAUGAUGGAAAAUGGUUAUGCAAGACAGUAGAGAUGACAUAUAGUUUUCUGUCUUUUUGUUGUAAUUCUGAGGGUGUUUAAACCUCAGGUCAUGCACUCUUCCUUCCAGAGAAGCUACUUGCUGUGUUUCCUUUAGCAACUACUUUAUUGCUGAGGUUGGAAGUGCUGUUCUGCUGUGGGACACAGCAGUUUUCUUAGGUAGCUCCAAUGAGCAAGUACUUUAGCACCAAAGACUAUCAAAAUUAAGUUUAAAUUAGAUUUAGAUUAGACGUCAGUGAUAAAUUUUUUACUGAGAGAGUGAUGAGGCACUGGCACAGCUGCCCAGAGAAGCUGUGGUGCCCCAUCCCUGGAGGCGCUCAGGGCCAGGUUGGACAAGCGCUCAGGGCCAGGUGGGGGACAGCCCUGCCCAUGACAGGGGUUGGGGCUGGGUGGGCUUUGAGGCCCCUUCCAACCCAAACCAUUCUGUGAUUCUAUGAAAAUUACUUCAACUCUGUUGAAGGUCUUGGCAGAAAGGCUAAGAACUUAAAAGAUUUGGAAGCAGAUGUUGAAGUCGAACUCACAGGGAAAUUAUUAUGAAAGGAUAAUUGCACAGAGAAGGCGUGUGUGUAGACUGGAGGUGGAUGGUCCAUUUUUUGACAGACAACUUUGGGUCAUUUGCUGCUUUCAUACUCUCUUCCUGUUGCUAUGGAAAGCUCACUCUUUUACCAUAUGCUGUACUAAAAGUCAGACAAGGAGCAUCCUGGGUCAUGAGAGAGGCUGUCAGGGUUUCAGACUCUGUCCUAGCUGAUAUGUUAUCCCUUCUUGUGGCAUACAACACAAUUGCUGUGCUAGACUGCAGGGUCCCUCUCUGUCUGCAGCACUGUUGUAUGCUGUGCUACACGUUGGCAGAGAAAAUCCAAUCCUUUCUUUUAUUCGCCAUGGCAGAAAAUACCAGCUGUAGUGCUUCGAAUUUUUGCAAGUCACCCAUCGUGAAAAAGCAAGGCUGACUGUUUCCAAAAAGUGAAGCUGAAAAACAAAAAUAGAUAAUCUGUCCUUCCUUGCAGUACAAUGUGCCAGAUAUUUGAGCCUUGUGGAGAAAAAUGGUAUGAAUUGCAUGGCUAGGGACUUAAUAAUUCUUAGAAAUGAAUCAUUGCUGUCUGAGUUUCUAUGGGAACGGAGAAAUAAAUGAAUAAUUAGGCUAUUUUCAAAUUAAUUCUAUCAGAAGAUCCAAAUGUUGUGCAAUGGUUAGAAGUAUGCAAAGGAAUAAAUCAUAUUAUUUGGGUUUUGCUAGUUACUGUUCCUGUUGUUUUUUUUUAAAGUAUGUUUUAUACAACUUAGUCACAAAACCUUUAAACUCAAGAGAAACAGGACAUUUGGCUGUAAGUUCAGAACAAUGAACUCAUGAGGUUUAUUUUUAUAUGCAAGUUCAACUUGGAUGCAUGCCAUGUAACACAAAAAAUUACCACUGAAUGCCUCUUCUUUUCUCUCCUAAAAUGAUGAGGGCAUCUGGAUCCCAUUUUAAAUUGCAAACUAGGCUUUUUGGCUUUUUAAAACAAUUUGCAUAGCUUGAACUAAUUAAUUCUUUGGUUGAUGUGUAGGCAGUAAAAGACAACAUGACCCCAAGCAUGAGGAGGUGAGGGGGAAAUGCGUGAGUUUUGGCAUUUCCUUGCUUUUGCAAGCUUGAAUUUGCUACUAUAACAUUUCAAUGUAAGUAGGCCAUAUGAGUAGCUGAUGUCAUCAAAUAAUACCAGAAGGAGACCCCUAGGAUAAGUUAGGCAUGUUUUCCAGCAUCACAAACAAAUGUUUCAAGAGCCUAAAUACACAGCCCGACGUUCUCUUAGUUGCAUAAAGCCAACAGCCUCAACCAGCUGCAUCUGUCCUGUGUGAGUUAAGAUCUAUUUACUUCAGCCCCUGAAGAGCUUGUGAGUUCCUAAUGGUAGGGGCCUGGCUUCUGUGAGCUGCAGUAUUGCUGCUAGUACUGGGCUGAUGACCCUCAGUUCCAGGUAGCUCAGUACCUAAUGCUGCCUGAAUAAUUUCCUCUCAGAUUUUGUAGUGAUGAUUUUCUCUCUCCAACAAAAAAAGUCUUUUCAAGCGGCUCUCAAUUGCAUUCAAGAAUGACUCUUCUCCAGCCCAAAGAAAGUUUGAUGUCUUACAGCAGAACUAUCAUCAAAUCAGGUGUUACAGGAAAUCAGAACGCUUCAGCUGUAUGGAAACCAUGAGAAACAGAAUUUCUACUCUAGUUGAAUUUAUUUUCCAUGGAAAUGAAGAAACCUGAACUACAGCCCUCCAAACUCUAGUAUGAGGUGUGUAAUUCUAAAAGAGGCAUCUUGAAUUAGGUCUUGCCCAGGUUACAGUGCUUUGCAGUGGAUGGCUGGAGGAGAGCUUACCUAAUGAGUGCAGCAUGAACAGACUGUUGAGGUGUUUCCAUGAAGCUCUGUAGGAACCCAGUUCUCUACAAAUCAUUUUGGCUUCACGAUACAAGUUGUUUUGCCAAAAGUGUUCUGGUGUUUUUAUCUUGCUAACCUUCAACCUUCUACGUCAUGCAGAUCUUCACAGACAUCUUAGCCACUAUUAGAGCUUGUUUUCAGAAGGUGGCAAGAUGCAUAUCCUGAAUUCCAAGAACUGGCGAAAGACUCUUGCUGGAAGAAAAUGUUUCUGGAUUUCUUUUCAACUUGGACAAAGACAUUUUUGUUCUGUGCACACAGAAGUGAUUAAAAACGUUCUGAAGUAGGUUUCUUUGAAGGAGAUACUUACCUGGCACUUGGAGUGGGGGAGCAGCUCAAUGGUACACACUGAGCUGGACAAGAGGCUGUGGUGUUCAUCGUCCUAUGAUCAUACCAAAUGGAAAUGGGCUCCUGCUCAAAGCACACUUAACUAAUGGUAGUGCUGCUGAUGCUGCCUAAAGCAGCUGUGCUGUUCCUGAGAUCAGAACUGCCAUUGCAGAAAUGAUGGAUGGCAUUUAAUGAGCAAAUGAAUCAUAGAAUCACAGAACAGCCAAAGGACCAUCUAGCACCAUGUCCAAUCACAUCUUGAAAGCCUGCAGCAAUGGGGGAUUCCACCACAUCCUCGGGGAGGUUGUUCCAGUCAUUGACUGUUUUCACUCUGAAAAAUUUCAUUCUGAUAUCAAGGUGAAGCCUCUCCUGGUGCAUCUUGAAUCCAAUGCCCCUUGUCUUCUCUGUGUUGCUCGCUGUGAAGAGACAGCCUCUGUCCUCUUUGUAGCAACCCUUCCAGCGCUGAAUACAGUACUGAGGCCCCUGAGUCAUCUUUUGUCAUGGGUAUAAAGACCUACCUCCUUCAGUCUGUCACCAUACGGCUUCUUCUCCAGCCUUUUGAACAAAUUUCAGGGCCUAAUUUGAAUGACCCCCCCCAAUUUGUCCACAUCUUUUUUUUUCUUUUUUUUUUUUUUUUCUUCCCUUCCCAUAUUGCAGGAUCCAGACCUGGACACAGUGCUCCAUGUGUGAUCUGACAAGCACUGAGUAGUGUGGGAUGAUCACAUCUCUAUCUCUGCUGAUAAAGCUCCCAUAGAUGCAGCCCAGGGUGCAAUUAGCAUCCCGUGAUUGCUGCUGACUGCUGGUCAGCUGUGGUCCCCCAGGAUCCCCAGGUCUCUUCCAGCAAGGCAGCUCACAGCCACACAGAUCCCUGCCUGUGCCGGGCUCUUCAGGUGCACUGUCCCAGGAGCAGGACCUGGCUCCUGUGUUUGUUAAGCAUCACACAGCUCUUGCCUGCCUAUUCCUCCAGCCUGGCCAAUUGGAUACUAAACAAAAUAAAAAGUGGUAAAACAAAAAGUAUUCUUUCAAGACCUGGGUGCUCUGCAUGCCCUACCAAUGCUGGUAGGUACUUAACCUCCCUCAUUUUCCCAACAGCAUCUGGAGGGAGUCUUCAUUGCCUCCCCGUUAGGGGUAAUGGCUAACUAGUAACAGCCUGUGUGCAUGAACAUCACCCACCCAGAUCCCAACCUAGCCAUUCCUACAAGGCCCAGGAAAUGUUCCUCAUUCUCACUCAUUCUUACAGGAAAUAAAGCAAAUCUCAGCUCAGUCCUUACCGAUUUUCCUAGUCAAAACCAUAAGAAAACCAAACAGGCCCAGUAAAGGAUGGCUGGCUACACCUUAGCUGUUGCUUAUCUGUGAGACAAUGGAGUAAAUCAGAUAAAUCUAAGGGAAAAGGAGGGGAGGGCUGUGCUCCUUACUGUUGUUCAUUUAGCUUAGGUGAGUGCUGGAUAUUGCUAGAUGCCUUCAAAUUUCAAUUUUUAAAGAUGUUGCUGAAGGGGUGGGAAAGCAUAUAUGAGAAGGAGUGUGAUUGAUGUGAACAUUCUUGCCUAUUUCACUUCACUUGUCCAUCUUUUUCUCACUUCUGAGGUUUUGUUACCUCUAAUAAAAACACACAUAUUGCUGGUGAUUCUGCUUGUGAAAAAAAAAAAAAGAUAUAUUUGGCACAUGAGAAUGGUCAUGUGAAGUCAAAGAAGACACAGAACUCUCCUGAUUAAUGUAUUUGUAUAAUUAUUAAUUCUGUAAACUGUCUCUGGAAUCUAAAAUGUAAUAAGGCAGAUGUCUUUUCUCUUCUAACCUCUUGUGCUGUGAGGACAAAAUCUCAUGAAUUUUUCGUGACUCUCCUGAAUCGAGUCUCCUGAAUAAAAUUAAUUACUUAAAAAAAUUGCUCUCUGGGAGACCUAAUUCUCUUUUAUUAUGAGCUGCUGACAUAUUUCUCAUCUGUUGUUGAGACAAAUGAUUUUUGAAUCUUUACUUCUUUUUCCUCAAAAGCCUGCUGCCUUUCCAGAGAGAUUUUCAAGAAGCAGUGACCCAGAAUCUCUCAUUUCUACCUUUCUAAGUUGUCUUCAAACGUAAGAGCAGACUGCUGGCUAGGAAGAGCGAUGUUUGCACUCGUAAGGGAGGUGGCACUACAGGAGUGAGUCAGGGUGUGGGGUGUACAUGUCUUUGUGCAAAAACUAGGAUUAAAACUAGUCCUUCAAGCUGCCUGCUGUGGUGAGAAGGGAGAGGGGUAGCAUAGCAGCACCUCUGUAUGGAGGUUUGAGAGCAUUGCUUUAUCACUGAAUUUAUUCUGUAUUUAUUUAUUGGCACUGAUUGCCAAUCAUCUUGGCAUCUUCAGGGAGGUCAACCACCUCCUGGGACUGGCAGGUUCAGCAAGGGAGGAGGGCAACAGAACUGAAAAUGGGUCACAGAAGUUCCCGGUGACUUUAGACUUUCCUAGGCGUGUGCACAUUUAAUAAAUGCAGUCAAACCUUGUGGUGAUGUGGCUUACUUACCAUAGAAUCACUAGUGUUGGAAAAGACCUCUAAGGUGAUCUAGUGCAACCACCAACCCAUCACACCAUGCCCACUAACCACGUCCAUCAGUGCCACACCCACACCGUUCCUGAACUCCUCCAGGAUGGUGACUCCACCACCUCCAUUGGCAGCCUGUGACACUGUAUCACCACUCUUUCUGAGAAGAAAGUUUUCCUAAUAUCUAAACUGAAUAGUGAAUACUGGAGCUUAUAAUAAAAAAGAAUCAGGUCUUCCAGAGGGCAAUUUUCAACUAUAAUUGAUUUUAUUCAGUAGAGUUAUCUGUUACUUCUUGAUUCAGACCUCAGCAUACCCUCCAGGGUAUGCAGUAGUCUACAUACUAAUAUAAUCUGGAAUGGAAGUUGUGUUUCAGUUUCUCCUGCAGGGAAUGUGGCUUACAUGUACCAGGGACAGUCUACAGACUGGCCCAACGCAUGGCAAGUUUGACAGAUAGUUGCUUUACUGCUGGGGACUACAGUAGCCUUCAGACACACUAAGAAGCCCUUGUGAUGUGGAGUUAUUAGUCCAUGUGCUUUAGAAGGUCAGAACCUGAAGCACUAGACUCUUUGUUAGCAUGUAGUUAAUUACCAUUCAUUUGAAAAUACUUUUUUUCCCUCAAAUAAGUUAAAAUAAUAGAAUAAUAGAUAAAAAAACAUGUAUUUAUUUAACCAGGUUUAUUUUUUAUUAUAUUUACAUAUUUAACUAGUUCUUAAUUUGAAGCGCUCAAAACAGUUCAGCUUGCUUCAGUCCUAUACAUUUUUUUUUUAUAGUUUUAUGAACUGUGCAAUCUUCAGACCUUUGCAAUAACUUCAUACCUCCACCAAUAUGCUUUGUUUCAGUGUGUCCUGCUACAGGGAGGGUGUGCCAGACAUCUUGUUCAACACAACCAUAAAGAGACCUGAAAGGUUGUGUUCACUGCCUUCUAUCUCUGACAGAUAGUAAGUUGCCUUUAACGUGGCAAAAACUUCAAGUACAUAGGUGUAUGACACUAGCAGACAUCUCAUGAGUGGCACAGGUUUGUGAGCUGCCACUCUAACCCUGAGACAUAUCAUGCAAUUAAGUGGGUCAUAUGAGGCAACAAGGCUGCUGCUAAAAUUCUGUGCUGAGGUCUUCCCAGUUGAUUAAAUUAAAGAUCUGCCUCCUUUGUGAUGUUCAGAAGUACUCGGUUUCAUGCAUUCCCAGGUGGGAUUUGCAUCUGCUCCAUUAGAAAUAAGACAGCUUUGUCUUUUCCUUGCACCAACAUGCAAAGAAGUUUUUUUUUUGAAAAAGGAAAUCUAAUUUAAAACAGUUAACACAGUCUUUACAACUGAGUCACAUUUCUGGUCAUUUCAUGUUUCUCACGUUGUGUAAAACAAUAAAUAACUGACUCAAGAUUGAGGUUUCUGCUCCUGGAGCCAGGCUCCCCAGCAGUAGAUGAGCUAUUUAGUAUCACAGAGUUUAAGACCUUUUUUAAAAG
rnacentral:lncRNA from 1 species